AGUUACUUCAAUAUACAAGCCUACUAGGUUGUGUGUGCAAGAAUAACCUUAGGAAUGUGAUAUAUUGUAUGGACAAAACAUACCAUUAUUAUUAUAUCAAAAAAAUACAUUAACAACAAAAAAUGGAGAUAAAAAGGUGAAUAAAAGAAAACCUCAUAUAUCUAGGUCUUUCACUGCCCAAAAAUGACAUCAUGACCUAGAAAUUAAUUUAGCUUAUCAAAUUUCAAUCUUGUAAAUCUCUCUCAAGCCAAAUAUGAGGUGAUUUCUUUUCAUCGGUCCAAGUCUUAGUGGACAGAGUUAUCCGGUACCUAUGUUGAUGUAGGCAGCACAAGUACUCAUGAAUCUAUAGUCGAGAUGUGCAUAAGUUGCCCUGACCCAUGGUUAUUUUUUAAAAAAAGUUACAAGCAUAUAUUUUUUAUACCCAAAUUGCAUUAGCCUUUAUGAGCAAUUGCUUGAGCUUGUCUCUAAUAUUGAGACUCAUAAUUUCAUUAGAACCUCCAACUAACUCAUUUCCAAUGAACACAACAGGCACAAUUUGUUGACACCCUA